rnacentral:rRNA from 1 species
GGGUCAGUAGGUUGGUCGUGCCACCGGUACGUACUGGUCUCACUGAUUCCUCCUUCCUGAAGAACCGUAAUGCCAUUAAUUUGGUGUUGCGGGGAAACAGGACUGUUACUAUGCAAAAAUUAGAGUGUUUAAAGCAAGCUAACGCUUGAAUACAUUAGCAAGGAAUAAUGAAAUAGGACGAUCGAUCCUAUUUUGUUGGUUUCUAGGAUUGACGUA